AGAAGACACAAAGUGUCACCACUGUAUUAUGAAGAACAAAUAUAAUGUGUGGCAAAGGAAAUAUCUCAAAGACUUUUACACAACAGACAUGAAAGAGCAAUAACCAAAUUCUUCUGAUUAGUCACACAUUCAAGCAAAUGCCAACAUAUUGCGUGACAUAAAAGAAACUUUAAAUACUAACCAAAGCACUGCCAUAAACAAAGAUAGGUU
rnacentral:misc_RNA from 1 species